UACGUAGGGUGCGAGCGUUGUCCGGAAUUACUGGGCGUAAAGAGCUUGUAGGUGGUUUGUCGCGUUGUUCGUGAAAACUCACAGCUCAACUGUGGGCGUGCGGGCGAUACGGGCAGACUAGAGUACUGCAGGGGAGACUGGAAUUCCUGGUGUAGCGGUGGAAUGCGCAGAUAUCAGGAGGAACACCGGUGGCGAAGGCGGGUCUCUGGGCAGUAACUGACGCUGAGAAGCGAAAGCGUGGGGAGCGAACAGG
rnacentral:rRNA from 1 species